AGCUUUGUGCAGUGGCAGUAUUGUAGCCAAUGAGGUUUAUCCGAGGCACGAUUAUUGCUAAUUGAAAAGAUAACCUCACUUA
rnacentral:snRNA from 1 species